CCCGGGGUAGCUCAGCCUGGUAGAUGUUGAAGCCAAUAGCUUCCGGCUGUAGACCGGAGUGUCGCAGGUUCAAAUCCUGCCCCCGGGACCA
rnacentral:tRNA from 1 species